UGAAACGGGACCACUCCAAACACGAGCGUGCGCCGGCCAAUGAGACGUCCGUGAUUUGGAAGCCGUCCAAUCAGAUGCCAAGACUAACGGGACCGCAAAGGGUCAUAUAGGAAGAGCCCACUCAGCUAAUCACAGCAGUGACCCACUUCAGCAAGUAAGUGCCUGAGAAGGAACUUCCUAUGUGUUGGGAUGGCGAACAGGAAGCGCUGAUAGUGGGGUCAGCACCGAUGGCAAAUCCACGAAGGACGCACCGGCAUAUAAGACGCACCCAAUUUUAAAGAUGCAAAAUCUAGAAAAAAAAGAUUCUGAACCCAACAGCCGUUGGCGGUCCGGGCAUGCUGGGAGUUGUAGUUUUGCAACAUCUGGAGGUCCCAGGUUGAAGACCACUGGUAUAGGAGGUAAUACUCACGUGUCCCCGCCACUCCGGACCCAUCACCGCUGCCCUGGAUGUCGCUCCAUUGCUGUCGCCGCGUCCCCGUGGUGUCCCCGACACUCCGAACGUCUUCUUCCCCGGGAUCCUGGCUCUCUGUCGCCGUCAUCACGUGGCUAUGCACACCGCUCCUAUUGGAUAAUGGGACAGCGUGCACAACGACGUGAUGACGUCAAAGGAGAGCGCCGGCCAUGCAGGGGAUCCCCGCACGGAGCAGACACCGAGGAGGCAGGUAAGAUCCCUCCUGGUGUCCUGUAAGCUGUUCGGGACGCCGCAAUUUCACUGCGGCGGUCCCGAACAGCCCGACUG